rnacentral:lncRNA from 1 species
UCUUAUCACUUCAGGUACCUAAGGGGAAGGAAGAUCCCCAAAGCGGGAGAAGCAACGCCUGGUUGUGUCUACAGAGGUAGACCAUUGAUGACCUCUCUUCUCUGUCCUUCCUAAAACAUAAGUCUCCAGAUCUCCUCUGAUCUAUGAAAUGUCAAAGGAGUUGAACAGCCAUCCCCAACAGAGAUCAAAGGAAUGAGUGUGCAUAAAUUCUGAGUGUAUCUAACUAGAAAUGUGUUUGUAGAUCUUGUUAUAGCUUGUUUCAAUAUCUCAAUUUAUUUUCUUUCUUUUGUUGUUGUUUUAAUACUUUAAGUUCUGGAAUACAUGUGCAGAAUGUGCAGGUUUGUUACAUAGGUAUACAUGUGCCAUGGUGGUUUGCCGCACCCAUCAACCCGUCAUCUACAUUAGGUAUUUCUCCUAAUACUAUCCCUCCCAUUGCCCUCCACCCCACAACAGGCCAUGGUGUGUGAUGUUCCCCUCCCUGUGUCCAUGUGUUCCCAUUGUUCAACUACCACUUAUGAGUGAGAACAUUUGGUGUUUGGUUUUCUGUUCCUGUGUUAGUAUGCUGAGAAUGAUGGUUUCCAGCUUCAUCCAUGUCCUUGCAAAGGACAUAAACUCACUCUUUUUUAUGGUUGCAUAGUAUUCCAUGGUGUAUAUGUGCCACAUUUUCUUUAUCCAGUCUAUCAUAGAUGGGCAUUUUGGUUGAUUCCAAGUCUUUGCUAUUGUGAAUAGUGCUGCAAUAAACAUAUGUGUGCAUGUGUCUUUAUAGUAAAAUAAUUUAUAAUCCUUUUGGUAUGUAUCCAGUAAUGAAAUUGCUGGGUCAAAUGGUAUUUCUGGUUCUAGAUCCUUGAGGAAUUGCCACACUGUCUUCUACAAUGGUUGAACUAAUUUACACUCCCAUCUACAGUGUAAAAGCAUUCCCAUUUCUCCACAUCCUCUCCAGCAUCUUUUUUUUCCUGACUUUUUAAUAAUCGCCAUUCUAACUGGAGUGAGAUGGUAUCUCAUUGCGAUUUUGAUUUGCAUUUCUCUAAUGACCAGCGAUGAUGAGCUUUUUUGCAUAUGUUUGUUGGACACGUAAAUGUCUUCUUUUGAGAAGUGUCUGUUCAUAUGCUUCGUCCACUUUUUGAUGGGGUUGUUUGUUUUUUUCUUGCAAAUUUGUUUAAGUUCCUUGUAGGUUCUGGAUAUUAGUCCUUUGUCAGAUGGAUAGAUUGCAAAAAUUUUCUCCCAUUCUGUAGGUUGCCUGUUAACUCUGAUGAUAGUUUCUUUUGCUGUGCAGAAGCUCUUUUGUUUAAUUAGAUCCAACUUGUCAAUUUUGGCUUUUGUUGCCAUUGCUUUUAGAGUUUUAGUCAUGAAGUCUUUGCCCAUGCCUAUGUCCUGAGUGGUGUUGUCCAGGUUUUCUGCUAGGGUUUUUAUGGUUUCAGGUCUUACAUAUAUGCCUUUAAUCCAUUUUGAGUUAAUUUUUGUAUAAGGUGUAAGGAAGGGGUCCAGUUUCAGUUUUCUGCAUAUGGCUAGCCAGUUUUCCCAACACCAUUUAUUAAAUAGGGAAUCCUUUCCCCAUUGCCUGUUUUUGUCAGGUUUGUCAAAGAUCAGAUGAUUGUGGAUGUGCAGAAUUAUUUCUGAGGCCUCUAUUCUUUUCCGUUGGUCUAUAUAUCUGUUUUGUUACCAGUACAAUGCUGUUGUGGUUACUGUAGCCUUGUAGUAUACUAUGAAGUCAGGUAGCAUGAUGCCCCCAGAUUUGUUCUUUUUGCUUAGGAUUGUCUUGGCUAUAUGGACUCUUUUUUGGUUCCAUAUGAAAUUUAGAGUAGUUUUUUUCUAAUGCUGUGAAGAAAGUCAAUGGUAGCUUGAUGGGGAUAGCAUUGAAUCUAUAAAUUACUUUGGGCAGUAUGGCCAUUUUCAUGAUAUUGAUUCUUCCUAUCCAUGAGCAUGAAAUGCUUUUCCAUUUGUUUGUGUCCUCUCUUAUUUCCUUGAGCAGUGGUUUGUAGUUCUCAUUGAAAAGGUCCUUCACAUCCCUUGUAAGUUGUAUUCCUAGGUAUUUUAUUCUCUCUUUAGCAAUUGUGAAUGGGAGUUCACUCAUGCUUAGAUUCCCACACAAUAAUAGUGGGAGACUUUAACACCCCACUGUCCAUAUUAGACAGAUCAAUGAGACAGAAAAUUAACAAGGAUAUUCAGGACUUGAACUCAGCUCAGACCAAGUGGACCUAAUAGACAUCUACAGAACUCUCCACCCCAAACCAACGGAAUGUACAUUUUUCUCAGCACCACAUAGCAGUUAUACUAAACUUGACCAAAUAAUUGCAAGUAAAACACUCCUAGGCAAUUGCAAAAGAACAGAAAUUAUAACAAACAGUCUCUCAGACCACAGUGCAAUCAAAUUAGAACUCAGGAUUAAGAAAUUCACUCAAAACUGCACAACUACAUGGAAACUAAACAACCUGCUCCUGAAUGACUACUGGGUAAAUAACAAAAUUAUGGCAGAGAUAAGUAAGUUCUUUGAAACCAAUGAGAACAAGGACACAAUGUAGCAGAAUCUCUGGAACAAAGCUAAAACAGUGUUUAGAGGGAAAUUUAUAGCACUAAAUGCCCACAUGAGAAAGUGGGAAAGAUCUAAAAUGGACACCCUAACAUCACAGUUAAAAUAACUAGAGAAGCAAGAGCAAACAAAUUCAAAAGUUAGCAGAAGACAAGAAAUAACUAAGAUUAGAGCAGAACUGAAGGAGAUAGAGACAUAAAAAACCUUUCAAAACAUCAAUGAAUCCAGGAGCCAGUUUUUUCAAAAGAUUAACAAAAUAGAUAGACCACAAGCCAGACUAAUAAAGAAGAAAAGGGAGAAGAAUCAAAUAGACACAAUAAAAAAUGAAAAAGGGGAUAUCACCACUGAUCCCACAGAAAUACAAACUACCAUCAGAGAAUACCAUAAACACCUCUACGCAAAUAACCUAGAAAAUCUAGAAGAAAUGGAUAAAUUCCUGGAUACAUACACCCUCCCAAGACUAAGCCAGGAAAGAGUAGAAUGCCUGAAUAGAUCAAUAACAAGUUCUGAAAUUGAGGCAGUAAUUAAUAGCCUACAACCAAAAAUUCCCAGGACCAGACAGAUUCACAGCCGAAUUCUUUGUACCAGAGGUACAAACAGGAGCUGGUAACAUUCCUUCUGAAACUAUUCCAAACAAUACAAAAAGUGGGACUCCUCCCUAACUCAUUUUAUGCGGCCAGCAUCAUCCUGAUACCAAAACCUGGCAGAGACACAACAAAAAAAGAAAAUUUCAGGCCAAUAUAACUGAUGAACAUCGAUGUGAAAAUCCUCAAUAAAAUACUGGCAAACUGAAUCCAGCAACACAUUAAAAAGCUUAUCCACCAUGAUCAAAUUGGCUUCAUCCGUGGGAUGCAAGGCUGGUUCACCAUACACAAAUCAAUAAACAUAAUCCUUCACAUAAACAGAACCAAUGACAAAAAACACAUGAUUAUAUCAAUAGAUGCAGAAAAGGCCUUCGAUAAAAUUCAAUACCCCUUCAUACUAAAAACACUCAAUAAACUAGGUAUUGAUGGAAUGUAUCUCAAAAUAAUAAGAGCUAUUUAUGACAAACCUACAGCCAAUAUUAUACUGAAUGGGCAAAACUGGAAGCAUUCCCUUUGAAAACGAGCACAAGACAAGGAUGCCCUCUCUCACUACUCCUAUUCAGAAUAGUGUUGGAAGUUCUGGCCAGGGCAAUCAGGCAAGAGAAAGAAAUAAAGCAUAUUCAAAUAGGAAGAGAGGAAGUCAAAUUGUCUCUGUUUGCAGAUGACAUGAUUUAGAAUACCCCAUCAUCUCAGCCCCAAAACUCCUUAAGCUGAUAACCAACUUCAACAAGGUCUCAGGAUACAAAAUCAAUGUGCAAAAAUCACAAGCAUUCCUAUAUAUCAAUUUAUUUUCAAUAAUUAUUCUCACAUUUGGUUUAAGUUUCCAGGUCCUUCUGUGUGGUUAACACCAUUUAUGGUCAUGUUGAUUGUUUUAAUCAGUACAUUUCACAAAGCGGUAUUCAUUGCUGAAAUUUAAUGCAUAACCACACCUCAUAUAUGAACUACUAUACUUCAUAUUUCUCUUAAUAACUCAUCUUACCUCCUGCUAUCCAGAAGGUCAAGAACUGCUUGGUAUUUAGAGGUAUCUUAACUCUUUCAGGUCACUAGAAAUGAGCAAUUUAUUAAAUGGAUUCUGAGUACUUGCUACGAGUUAAUGCGGUUUCAAAGAAGGGAUUUGUUGCUAUAUCACUCAAAGGAUCAGGUCAAAUAGCCUUUCUCCCUUCCAUUUUCUACAAUUGCUAAAGAUAUAAUUUGGGCUCCAUUUUAAACUAAAUCCUUGGAUAGGGAGGCAUCUGAGUCUGUCCAAACCAGCUCGCAAUGCGUUUAUGAGGCACAGGGUUAUGGCAGCCUACUCCUCAGGGUUAAGCUCUCAAGUUGGGAGAAAGCUUUCUCUAUCAGAGACCUGAAACUUUAAACUCUUUCUCCACUCAGAGACACCUCAUUCUCAAUAUUACAGCAUUUAGAAGAGGAUGCAGAAGUUAUUUUCACACUUAAGAACUCUCAGUCAGCCAAAGAGGCUAGUUGAAGGUCAUUCUUUUUGCUUCACUCUGAAUUUUAUGUACUUAAAUGGUAAGAAAUGUAUCUCCUUCCUCUUCUGUUUCCUUACUUUAAUAGAUUUCAGAGUUUUUCUUUGUGACAGAUAAGUAGCAAUAUCUGCACUAAGAAAAGAUCAAAUUUCUAUGCAAUUAUAUUUCUUUGCAAUUAGAAACGCCAUAGUAACCACAAUAUGAAUUUUUCUUUAUCUAUAAAUGUCUAAAUCAUUUAUAUUGGUUACAUUUACUUUCUUUUUACAGGUCUUUUUGUGUGAUUAACACCUUUUACGGGUUUGUCCAUUAAUUAAAUUAUUUGGCUUCAAUUAUUUUGUAUGCUAUUGUAGGUACUACCACAAGAUAACAUUUUAAUUUCUUGUAUUAGUAGCUUGUAAUAGAGCAGGAGAGUUACUCCAAUUCAGCAUCACAGGAGUGAGCAAGUUCAGGGACUGGGAUCCAACAGGGAAACAAAGCAGAGGUGGGUUAACUAUUAUCAAGACAAGCAAAAGAAUUGCUAGCAGUUUCAUGAGUGGGUUCUUAUGCCAAAAUCCUGCAGGGAUCUCUGAGCCAGACUGGAAAAAAAUCAUGAUGUCUUGCAUCUCAGUUGUCAGCCCUACAGUAAUAAAUUUUACCAAGGGAGAUUUCUCUUCCUCCUGCACCAGCCUUCCACACAGCUGAAACCAAAAUUCAGAGGAAAAUAACAGUAGGAGUACAGGGCAACAUGAAGUGGGAAGAAAAAUGGGGCAUAUUACAGGAAUAGCUUUAGGAACAGUUCAACGAUGCCCAACUUCAUGUUACCAACAUCAGGGGCUGCCUGCUGGAAUCAGCUGUUUUCCUCUGCACAUAUAUUUGCCCUCCACCUGAGCCAGGUGUUCUUCAUUACCAGUUCAUCCAGGCAGGCCAUGCUGGGAUUGUUUCAUGUAUUCACAGAUACUAUGUUUAAACCUCUGAGUUGUGGCCAAAAAGAAAAAGUCAAGCAAACACAUAAAAUCUGGUUUCACUUAUAAAGGUGCUUUCUUGUGUAGGAACAGGAUAUCUGCCCUCCUUAUUCAAUAUUUUCCUCUUAGUUCCUGCAGGUGUCCUAUGUUCUAGACUGCAUAACAGACCCAGGAGCAUGAGAAAUGGCCCUGUAGUGAGAUGUCAGAGCUAGUUUGGAGUUUCAGUUCCCACAUAAUUGGCUAACUGUAGUGAUAAUUGAUAGGGUUUUGAUCUGUGUCCCUACCCAAAUCUCACGUCAAAUUGUAAUCCCGUGUUGGAGGAGGGGCCUGGUGGGAGGUGACUGGAUCAUGGGGGCGGACUUCCCCCUUGCCGUUCUCAUGAUAGUGAGUAAGUUUUCAUGAGAUCUGGUUGUUUUAAAAUGCGUAGCACCUCCCCCUUCACUCUCUCAUUCUCCUUCUCUGGUCAUGUAAUACAUGCCUGCUUCCCCUUCACCUUCUGCCAUGAUUGUAAGCUUCCUGAGGCCUCCCCAGCCAUGCUUCCUGUACAGUCUGUGGAACUGUGAGUCAGUUAAAUCUCUUUUCUUUGUAAAUUACCCAGUCUCAGGUAGUUCUUUAUAGCAAUGCAAGAAUAGACUAAUACAAUAAUUAUGAUGGCGAACCCUCCAUAGUGGUAACCCCGUGCUGUGUGCUUUGCUUAAUUUAUCUCAAUUAAUCCUCACAACACUAGGUAGACUCAAUUAUAUCCCCAUUUACAUGGAUGAGGAACUAUAAAGCACAGAGAUCUUGAAUGUUCAAAAAGUAUUUCCUAGAUAUGGAUGAAUACAUUCAGCCAUGAUGAAUAUAUAUUGGGUACCUUGAUGUAGUCCCAGUCCUCAUGGAAAUUGUGUCUUAUUACAUAGCAAAGAAGGGCAGGAGGGAGGAAAUGAGUGAACAUGGAGUUCUGGAGGUAGGUGCAGGACUCAAAGGAGAGCAGGCACCAUUGCCCUAGGCAGAUUGAAUCGUGAAAUGAGUUGCAGUAUGAAGAAGCAUGACUUAAAGUUGGGGAAGUCAGAAGGGAAAAAAGGCAUUUUUAAAAGCAUGAGAUAGGUGAGCUCUGAUUCUCUAGUAAGGAUGUUUGAUCUCUGACCUGUUUUGUAAUACCUUCUGCCUGUGGGUGGCCCCAGGGUUAAUUGUGGCCAGAAGGGGCCCUGAAGCUUUUGGGCAAAUCCACCCUGGAAGAGAGACCAGGACCAAAGAUGCUGAAAAUAAUUCACGUUUCUGACAGAGUUUUUUUUUUUUUUUUUUUUUUUUUUUUUUUUUUUUUUUGCAUUUGGAACAUUCUACCUUGUUCUAUAUAUUCUGAAAUUCAUGUCCUUCUGGUUCUUUGGUUCUUGUCUGUCUCUUGCUUCUGGCCUAAUUUUUGUUUGUUUAUUUGUCCUUACGCUCUUUUCAUGUGCCAAGAUCUAGCUUAUAAAUUAGAAUUUGCCUAGUUAUUUUGCUAACUGGUGAUGACUCCUGCCUCUGCCUGGAUUCUUAUUAAAAACAAAACAAAAAAAAUCUGCGUUGAUGCUCUGCUUUGAUGAAUAGCCCCUGGGCCUCACCAGUAUUUACCUCCUCUCUCAAGCAGUUGGACUGAACAAUAUCUGCCAUUUUCUCCAGUUUUAGUUCCUGUAAUUAUAUUCUAUUAUAGAAUGAUUUCUAGGAUAACUUCUGUGAUUUGUAUUCCAUGUCUGCCUAAUCCAUUCACAUUGUUUAAGUAAUUCAGUGCUUUUUAACACAAGGCAGGUUGGAAAUGAAAAGAGACUUGUUCCUCAGGUACCUGAGAAAAAUAAAAGAUAGAAAGGGCUUCAAUUACUCAGCCCUGGCCAUUCUUUCUCCUUUGACACUAAGGUCAAGAUUCUCAUAGUCAUGGCAUUAUUCCUUUCAUGGUAGUGUGGUCCUGGCAACAUUCACCCCUGGGCUGCUCAGAUCUGUACCUCUUCUGCCUGAGGGAGAGACAGACUUAUAGGUCGGAAUCACAGGACACGAUUUUAACAAAAUGAAUGGAACUAAAACCACAGAAAUACAGCCCACAUCAUUUUCAUUUUACUCUUUCUAUCCUCUCUCUCUCUCACUUUCCAUCCACCAAAGAAAGCCUAUGCACACUGCUAGGACCCCUCUAGCUGCCACUGGAGUGGAUAACCUCUUCUAUUUCUCAUUGCCUUAAUUUCCUCUCGUUUCCAGCAGAGAAAGGAGAUUUCACAACUGGCUCUAAAUGCUUCUUUGUCUUACAUAGGAACAUACUUAAUAAAUACAGUUUAUUCCACUGGCAAUGUAUAAGUAGUUAGUUAUCUUUUGUUUCAUGACCUUUGUUAGUCACAUCAUACUCAACCAUAGAAGUGUGAUUAUAUCAGUGAGAAUUUUUGCUUCUGUUUUAAAGAUUCCAAAUACCUACUGUUUAGGUGUUGGUUAACCCUUUUUAUUUUUUUAUUUUUCACUUUUCUCAUCUUUAAAAUGGCGAUCAUAAUAGAACCUACUUCAAAUGGUUUUAAGAAAGACUAAAUAAGUUUACAUAUGUAAAGCACUUAGAAAAGUCUGGCACACAGUAACUUGUAGGUAUUAUUAUUAUUAUUAUUAUUGUUAUUUUCUCAUGCCAUCUCUCAAAGUUAUUUACAAACAAAUGGAAUUCUUGGCGGGUAGGGCCAAAUGUCUGACUAGAAGCAGCUAGUGUGUGCCUUCAAGGAGAGAAAAAAGAGUAGUAGGUAAAUACUAACUCUUCAACUGGAACAUCCAGAUGGACACAUUGCACUGGGAUUCAUCAAAAAACCAACUCCAUUCUUGGAGAACAGAGAGGAGCAGCGAGACAGGACAACUGCCCUCCUGGGAGUAGCAGGAGACAGGGGAGCCCCUGCCCCCCACUGUGGGUAAAUGGUAAGUGAGUGGUUGUCCCUGGGGACUCACACUUCUGCCAUCAACUUUUGCAACGCUGGGCUCAGGAGAUCCCCAUGAGUCUCCUCAGUAAGGCCUCCAGACUGACCUGGAAAGCUACAUGAAUCUGGGCAGAACCACGGCCCAGGCAUAUGUGCAGUCCCAGGAGCCUUGGAUCCUUGGGCAUCCCGACAUUAGCAGCUGCAGCUCCGGCAAUGGGGAAGGUCAGGCUUCCUCAUACACCCCCAGGAAGGGGGCCAAGUCUACAGGGCUGAGCAGUGACAGACUGCAGGCCUCACCUCUACUGCACCUCGCAGGAUAAGGCCCACUGGCCUGGGACCCUAGCAUGGCCACACCAGGCAUGCCUGUGCUCUGGGGCAAGUAGCAGCUCUGCAUUUUCCUGGGAUGGUGCUCCCAGAGGAAGAGGCAGCCCCCAUUUCUGCUGCCUCACAGCCCUCACUCCUGUUGCCCUCAG